ensembl:lncRNA
UAUUUAUCUUCUUAGUGUUUUCACUUUGGUUUCUUUGGGAUCAUAAAAUAAACUGGGCUUCCUUUUGUAUCUGGUUUUCACUAGUCUAGACAAACUGAAAUGAAAUUACUUUGUCCAAAUAAAUAAUGCUGCCAACAUAAAAAAUAAGAGAUAUACUUUUUAUACUGGUUGGAUAGUGAUAUCCCUAUCCAGAAAACUGCCCAUGAUGGCAUGACAAAAAGAUAUAUAGAAACAAAAAGUCUAAAGUCUAGACUGCUUGGAACAAACACACUUGGAACAAAAGCAGAGGUUGUUGGCUCAGACUGGUGGGUAUUUUAUUUAGACCACUAUUUCACAGACGCUGUGUUUCUCAAGCUCAUCAUAGGUUUCCCUCGAAAUGAAUAAUUUCCUGGUCAGAUGCAUUGGGGGAAUGUGCACAGUGUGAUUUACAGCGCAAAUUAACUAUUUAAAGUUUUUGAGAAGUCCUACUGAAAAGAAAUCUAUUAUACUUAACCCCUUAAAUUUAAAUACCUCCCAGAUCACUAACAUUUGCAGAUCAGUUUGGGGGAUUUUGACUUAACUACUUUCACAGCUCUUAACAGGUUUUUGUUUUUUUUUCCUUUUGUCAAUCAAUACCGUGUCUGGUUUCAUCGUACUUAAUCUACUGUAGCUACCACAAAGAGAAAAGAUUUUAUUAAUAUGUGUUAAAUGCCUUAACAGAAACCUGGGAAUAAAUUAUGUAACAGACUUUAGGCUGAAUUUCCAACAGUGACUCCCAAAGCUACAGCAUAGAACUGUUUCUCUGUGGGUGCUGGUUCUUCCAUCCUGAUCAGGAAUCUUCCCAUUAAAUCAAGAAGCUGAUGCAACAGCCAAUUCCAUAGCCUCUCUGCUCUGCGGUGAUCCGCUCCAGCAGAAUAAAUGCCUCACCCCUGACCUUUCUCCCCACUUAAGCCAAUUUAAAUUCAGGUUUCAAGCUUGUGCACAUGUACAUAAACGUAUGCAGAAUCUUAGCUUCAAGGGCAUCUGGAUAAAGUGAUUUUCAGUUUUCUAGCCUCUGCAGUAAUAGGAGACUGAUAGAUGUUUUAGAGUCAGUCCACAGUAUCCUACCACCACUGCAGUUUCUUCCCAGAAUGUAUUAUGUUGCGAGGUCUGAGGUUUCUGGUGAUGCCAUGGGAUGAAAUUAUAUAUUUUUUUAAACUUUAAUUUUAUAAAGGAAGGAACUACUGUUAUUACUAGUGCCUAGUCCCUUGGUUGUCUAUCACCUUUCCCNNNNNNNNNNNNNNNNNNNNNNNNNNNNNNNNNNNNNNNNNCUUUGUACAUUACCAUGUGGAAAUACUGUGUAUCUAUACAGAUACCAUAUUUUCCUUCAAAAUGUACCUGCUAACUUUGGCAUCUUUUUUUCCUGGGCCAGGACUCAAACCCACCCCACAGCAAUGACCCAAACUGCUGCAUGACAAUGCUGGAUCCUUAACCUGUUGUGCCACAAGGAAACGCCUUAGCAUUUUUGAUAUGCUUUGCCUGAAGCAAUUAUUAUUAUGAUGGUUGACAUAAUUUUUAAUUCCAUCUUCCCUUAGACAUUCAUUUGGUGGCUUUCUACUAUAAGGAAGAACUUCCAUUGUUCCUCUAUAUGUAUAUGUAUUUUAUUUAUAUCAAGAGAGUCCCAUUGAUUCUUUUUUUCUUUUUUUGGUCUUUUUGUCUUUUUAGGGCUGCACCCGUGGCAUAUGGAGGUUCCCAGGCUAGGGGUCCAAUUGGACCUAUAGCCGCUGGCCUACACCACAGCCAUACCAAUGCAGGAUCUGAGCUGCAUCUGCAACCUACACCACAGUUCACGGCAACGCUGGAUCCUUAAUCCACUGAGCAAGGCCAGGGAUUGAACCCAUAUCCUCAUGGAUGCUGGUCAGGUUUGCUAACCACUGAGCCACUUGAGAACUCCCCCCUUGAUUCUUUAUUCAAGGGAUAUAAUCCUUUGCUAUCAUUAUUUUGAUGUUUCAAUUUUUCUAGAUUUGUUCAAGAGGAGCCAUUUAAAGUUGAUCCCUGUGUCCUUUUGAUAUGUCCCAUCAUUCCUUAGGAACCUCCUUACUUUCUGUCACUAAUAGAUGUUCUAGGAACGUCUUGUUUUUUCUCUUCUCUGGUUCUAGAACCAACCAUUUCUCCCAUGAGCCCUUGUCCUAGCCAGUGAAAUAUGAUUAUUUAUUUAUUUAUUUAUUUAUUUAUUUUUCAUCUUUUUAGGCCGCACCCAUGGCAUAUGGAGGUUCCCAAGCUAGGGGUCUAAUCUGAGCUGCAGCUGCUGACCUACGCCAGAGCCACAGCAAUGCCAGAUCCAAGCUGUGUCUGCGACCUACACCACAGCUCACAGCAACGCCAGAUCCUCAACCCACUGAGCAAGGCAAGGGAUGGAACCUACAUCCUCAUGGUUCCUAGUCAGAUUCAUUUCUGCUGCGCCACAACGGGAACGCCAGUGAAGUAUGAUAUUUAGGGGUCAAGAUAUGGACUAUUAUUUUUAUUUUCAAGAUAAUGCCCAUACACUAGCAAAUGACAUGAAAACAAAUUUGAUAUUCUGUUUUGCCUGCAAGAUCAGAGGUCCUCAAUAAAAAUUUAUCAAAUGAAUAAAAGAACAAUUUUAAAGUAUAUUUUAAUAGGUAGUCUGAAUGUGACAGUUUUAUCCCAAACUCCAUUAUUUCUGCUGUCCCUAAAUCAUUUUGCAUCUGUUGACAGGAUAAUUUUAAUUCUCCUGAAUUUUAUAUCUAGAUCUAUCACUCUGCUAUUCAAAUAUGCUAUCUUACUAUCUCCUGUAUUUAAUCUAAACCUCUUGAUCUGACCUUAAGUCCCAAGAGUCUAGUUCACAUAAAAGCAUCUGUGCAUCUACUUCAUCUCUUAAUCAUGUUCCAAUGAAAAAUUUCCAGCAGCCAAAGAUAUGUUUCUCUGUCUCUAGUUAUUUCUUAUCCUGUUCCAAUGCUUGAAAACUUACCCACCCUACAAAAUAUGUUACUCAGGAAGGAAGCAUUUCUCCCUUGCUUGAAGUGAUUUACACUGUCUUCAAAUUCAAAUUAUCUCUAUUGGUUCAUCGCUCACUCAUUUCCUAUGAGAAGCAUAGUAGUAGGUGUGCACUACUCUUGCGGAUAAUGUUCACACAGACUGACCACUAAUUGGACCACUUCCAUUUUCUAGGAAGUACACACUCUACUGUCACUUAGUCUCAGCUUCUCCUCUUUUGGGGGAGAAAUCCAUUAUUUGAAGAUGAUGAAAAUAUACAUUUUAGCAUCAGAAUAUUUUAGGAUCUAUGAACUAUAGUAAAUGUAACAAAGACAUGAUCCUAUAUUGUUUAAAUUGUGCUACAUAGGUAUCUGGAAAGAUGUGUUUGCACCAGGGCAAAUGAAGCAACUGUGAAAACUAAUAUGAAUUUCCCAUCACAUUACCAACAAAUGGUGAACCCAGUUUUCACCAUCUAGACGAUGUAGCUUCGACUCUUAAAUAUCCAGCCCUGUUACAACUACUUCCCAAAUAUUUAUGACAAGCAGAAAUUUAAAAAAUAUGAAACAUUGGAGCUCCCUUGUGGCUCAUCAGGUUAAGGAUCCAGUGUUGUCACUGCUGUGGCUCUGGUUACAGCUGUGGUGUGGGGUCAAUCCCUGGCCCAGGAAUUUCUACAUGCCAUGGGCAUGGCCAAAAAAAAAAAAAAAAAAA